rnacentral:rRNA from 1 species
UACAGAGGGUGCAAACGUUGUUCGGAAUUACUGGGCGUAAAGCGCGUGUAGGCGGCAGUGAAGGUCGGAUGUGAAAUCCCGCGGCUCAACCGUGGAAGUGCAUUCGAAACCACAUAGCUAGAGUCUCGGAGAGGAAGGUGGAAUGCUUGGUGUAGAGGUGAAAUUCGUAGAUAUCAAGCGGAACACCGGUGGCGAAGGCGGCCUUCUGGACGAUGACUGACGCUGAGACGCGAAAGCGUGGGUAGCAAACAGG